GCCCUGUUGAUGUAAAGAGGUCAUCUGAGAAAAUAGGAAAGGUUUUGGCCUUGUACACAUUAAGCCAAUAGCAUAAUGGGGUCAAAAUGUACAUGACAAAGACGAAUCCGACUGCCACAUUAGCUGUGGCAAACCAUGGACUAGCAAGCGGGCUUCCAAGAUAGGAGGAGAUGGUGGACCAGUCAAUUCCAAGAGCACCAAUUCCAAGUCCAUAAAGGCCUGAGCCCAGUUGUUGGGCAAGGACAGAAUGGGGGAAUAUCCAACAAAUCCAAGAGAGGGAAGUCAACAUUUGGAAGAGAUAGCCUGGGAAGACAUAGUAUGCAAAGCUGCAUAUGAAGGCUAUCAGAAAGAAUUGGAUACGAGUCACACCACCUUUGGGCCUCUCUUCCUUCUCAUGCAAAGCCCUG
rnacentral:misc_RNA from 1 species